CCUACGGGAGGCAGCAGUGAGGAAUAUUGAUCAAUGGUCGGGAGACUGAACCAGCCAAGCCGCGUGAGGGAGGAAGGUACAGAGUAUCGUAAACCUCUUUUGUCAGGGAACAAAGACUGGGACGCGUCCCCGGAUGAGUGUACCUGAAGAAAAAGCAUCGGCUAACUCCGUGCCAGCAGCCGCGGUAAUACGGAGGAGGCGAGCGUUAUCCGGUUUGAUGGGGUUUAAAGGGUGCGCAGGCGGUCUGUUCAGUCAGCGGUCAAAGCCCGGGGCUCAACCCCGGCCCGCCGUUGAAACUGGCAGUCGCGAGUUGGAGAGAAGUAUGCGGAAUGCGCGGUGUAGCGGUGAAAUGCAUAGAUAUCGCGCAGAACUCCGAUUGCGAAGGCAGCAUGCCGGCUCCACACUGACGCUGAGGCACGAAAGCGUGGGUAUCGAACAGGAUUAGAUACCCUUGUAGUC
rnacentral:rRNA from 1 species